GAUGAGCGCUGGCGGCGUGCUUAACACAUGCAAGUCGAACGAAGCACCUCUCCCGAAGAUUGACACAGCUUGCUGUAGAUUGAUUCAUUUGAGGUGACUGAGUGGCGGACGGGUGAGUAACGCGUGGGUAACCUGCCUCAUAGAGGGGGACAACAGUUGGAAACGACUGCUAAUACCGCAUAGUAAGAAGAAUUCGCAUGUUUUCUUCUUGAAAGAUUUAUCGCUAUGAGAUGGACCCGCGUCUGAUUAGCUAGUUGGUAAGGUAACGGCUUACCAAGGCGACGAUCAGUAGCCGGCUUGAGAGAGUGAACGGCCACAUUGGGACUGAGACACGGCCCAAACUCCUACGGGAGGCAGCAGUGGGGAAUAUUGCACAAUGGGGGAAACCCUGAUGCAGCGACGCCGCGUGAGUGAAGAAGUAUUUCGGUAUGUAAAGCUCUAUCAGCAGGGAAGAUAAUGACGGUACCUGACUAAGAAGCCCCGGCUAACUACGUG
rnacentral:rRNA from 1 species